rnacentral:misc_RNA from 1 species
GAUGAAGAACGUAGUGAAAUGCGAUAAGUAAUGUGAAUUGCAGAAUUCAGUGAAUCAUCGAAUCUUUGAACGCACAUUGCGCCCCUUGGUAUUCCGAGGGGCAUGCCUGUUCGAGCGUCAUUAUAACCCCUCAAGCUCGGCUUGGUGUUGGGGCCUGCCGCACGGGCAGCCCUUAAAAUCAGUGGCGGUGCCAUCUGGCUCUAAGCGUAGUAAUUCUUCUCGCUAUAGAGUCCCGGUGGAUGCUUGCCAUUAACCCCCAAUUUCAAUGGUUGACCUCGGAUCAGGUAGGGAUACCCGCUGAACUUAAGCAUAUCAAUAAGCGGAGGA